UGAUGAACGCUGGCGGCGUGCCUAAUACAUGCAAGUCGAGCGAACAGACGAGGAGCUUGCUCCUCUGACGUUAGCGGCGGACGGGUGAGUAACACGUGGAUAACCUACCUAUAAGACUGGGAUAACUUCGGGAAACCGGAGCUAAUACCGGAUAAUAUAUUGAACCGCAUGGUUCAAUAGUGAAAGACGGUUUUGCUGUCACUUAUAGAUGGAUCCGCGCCGCAUUAGCUAGUUGGUAAGGUAACGGCUUACCAAGGCAACGAUGCGUAGCCGACCUGAGAGGGUGAUCGGCCACACUGGAACUGAGACACGGUCCAGACUCCUACGGGAGGCAGCAGUAGGGAAUCUUCCGCAAUGGGCGAAAGCCUGACGGAGCAACGCCGCGUGAGUGAUGAAGGUCUUCGGAUCGUAAAACUCUGUUAUUAGGGAAGAACAAAUGUGUAAGUAACUAUGCACGUCUUGACGGUACCUAAUCAGAAAGCCACGGCUAACUACGUG
rnacentral:rRNA from 1 species